AUGCAAACAUAAAAAAGUAAAAUUUACCCAACAAAUUUCAAGUGAGAAAAAGAUACAGUUCAUCGGAAAAGAAAAUCCCACAAUUUUCCUCCCAAAAGCAGACAACAAAUGCUUUAACACAGAAGUAAUAUAGGUAAAUUUUAGGAUCUCGAAAAUAAUUCAAGAUUUAGAGUUGGGUGGUCGUGAAUUAGGAAAAUGGAAAGUGGGUUCAGCGCAGAAGAUCUUUCCACAAUCGGAGGCAUUGCCACCGUAUCACUCUUACAUUCAUUCAUCCCUACGCAUUGGUUGCCUUUCUCCAUUGUUGGCAGAGCUCAGAAAUGGACUCUCUCUCGUACCCUUCUUGUCAACGAGAGAAAACUUGGAGCACGUUCGGGUUAGUUGAUUAAAAGUUGCUGACAAACAUCAAGUGUUAGAAGCUGAUUCUAUAAAGGGAAAAGGGCCAAAUAUACCCCUUUACUUUCGGAUAUUGUCUACAUUUAACCUCUGUUAUACUAUCCGGCCAAAUUUAUCCCUGCCGUUAUACUAUCCGGCCAAAAUGUACCCCUACCAUCACCAAACUUUUAAAAAUUACCCUUGAUCUAUUAAGUAAUUCAAAAUCUCCAAUUUCCUUUUAUUUAAAUCACUUGUUGUUCUUCUUGCUCCAUUAUUUCCAGAAAUUACUAUUGAUGUGAAUGCUAAA